GACGAACGCUGGCGGCGUGCCUAAUACAUGCAAGUUGAGCGCUGAAGGUUGGUACUUGUACCGACUGGAUGAGCAGCGAACGGGUGAGUAACGCGUGGGGAAUCUGCCUUUGAGCGGGGGACAACAUUUGGAAACGAAUGCUAAUACCGCAUAAAAACUUUAAACACAAGUUUUAAGUUUGAAAGAUGCAAUUGCAUCACUCAAAGAUGAUCCCGCGUUGUAUUAGCUAGUUGGUGAGGUAAAGGCUCACCAAGGCGAUGAUACAUAGCCGACCUGAGAGGGGGAUCGGCCACAUUGGGACUGAGACACGGCCCAAACUCCUACGGGAGGCAGCAGUAGGGAAUCUUCGGCAAUGGACGAAAGUCUGACCGAGCAACGCCGCGUGAGUGAAGAAGGGUUUCGGAUCGUAAAACUCUGUUGGUAGAGAAGAACGUUGGUGAGAGUGGAAAGCUCAUCAAGUGACGGUAACUACACAGAAAGGGACGGCUAACUACGUG
rnacentral:rRNA from 1 species